CCGUUUCUACGCAAACUAGUCUCUUAGUUUUAAAGCUAACGCAUGAAACCUUUCCAAAAGUCUUAUUUCAAUUGCAGGUAGUAUAAAAGUCGAACCGAGCCGGAUCGGAUAAGUAUGUCCUUUAGCUCCCAUAGGAAUGAUAAAAAAACAUAUUUUAACUAAAUGUAAAGAAUGAUAACUUCGGUGUUUUUGACAUUAACUUCUACUCUUGCGAAUUCAUUUUUUUUAAUAUUUCAGAAUUUCGAAUACAAUUUUUUAAAAACGACUAUCAUAUAACUUCUAUAGGAACGAUCGAAUUUUCGGUAAACAUAUACGGUAGUCAAAGUAAGCGGAAAUGAUCUGCAAGGUUUUAGAAACUUCGGCUUGCCGAAGUUAGCUUUCCUUCUUGUUUUUUCCUUAAUGUGUUCCAUUUAUACUCACUGCUAGAUUUCUUCCAAAAUGUUUGCUCAAAAACAGUACAUUCUCAAGUAGAGAAUAUAAUUUCAGAACGUCAAAAUGGUUUCUGAGUAGUAAUUUUUCAUUAAUAAAUUGAACAUGGAAUAGCAAAACUCCGUUGCGCAAUCGCCUAAUAAAUAUUCUGGACUUGACGAUGGAGGAUCGGAAUAAACAAUUUAUAUGGUUCUUAUUAACGAAUAAAAAUAAAGAAAGCGUAUAUAGUAUAAUAUUAAAAAUAAGUUGAAAUUAUUAUUUAAUCUUAAGAACAGGUAAUUAAUAGCUCAAAAGGGGUACCUCUUCGUGUCUCUGCAGAGUUUCGACGUCGAUUUCUGGGCGUGAGAGUGGUUAUGGCUUUAAACGUCAAAAAUCAGGCCUACUUUCAAAAUCACAUCAUACUCUAGUUCACAGAUAUAAAGUUUAAAGUUCGGAAGGAAAUCCGAAAUUAGGGCUAAACUGUUAUGCAUCCCAUGUGUGAAGUGCAGUUCAAGUUAUAUUAGCUACAGCAAUUGUAAAACUAGGAUGGAUUGUGCCGUGGAACAAAAACAGAGCUUAUCAAAAAUAAAAAUGUUCAGAAUGCGACUUUUAAAUCCAAGACAUUGUUCUUUUGGCUCUCUGGUAGGACAUUGGGGCUUGAACAAAUCCCAGGGAAACCGAAGGCCAAGAACAAUAAUCGGAAGUUCUUGUGUCGUGCGGUGGAACAGCGAAUUUCAGUGCCACCAUUCAACGACAAAAGCGCUUUCUCCACGGGAUGUUCAAUGAAAUUUCAGACCAACU